CCCCCCCCCCCAGGUGGCAUCUUGGCAUCCUGUUCCGGGUGCAUUCUGGCUUUGAGCAUUAUUGCGCGUGCCUUUUCCUCUCCCCGCUGCGACCCGGACUACAGUCAGCGAGUGAAUGCCUGGAAUUACCCGCUUAAUUAAUUACGAAGUCAUGCCAAACGGGGUGUCCCCUAAUUUCCAAAACCGGAGCUAAUGGGUAGAUUCUGCAAUUUAAAUCACGAUCCAGAGGUGUUUCUCAGUUCUACUGAGAAUAUGCAGAAGAAGACAGCGCGGAGUCCGGUAAUUCAAAAUGUUUCUGGAGAGGUUCUGGCGUUGGCACAUGUCUUGGAACUGCGGAGGACGCUGACAUGACCUCAGCCCUUUCGGCGGGGCUGCAUCACGCAAGCGCAACGGGGUGGAUUUCAAAGGGCUGCCAGUGGCAGAUGACUGUGGGCGCCUGGAUGGAUGCGGGGACUGCAUCAGCGGAGAUUCCCUCAACCUGACGGGCUGCGUUUGGAGGCAGUGUGAUGACGGUGAGAGUGGGCAAACACGCAUACACACAUAAACAAAAAUAUAUUCUCAUACAUGCAUAUACACGCCCACGCAGACACAACUGGCAGCUGCAGCAGAAAUCGGAUCACCCCCCUGUCACCUGAGCUUGGCGAUUCCACACCAAAUCAGUGAAUAAUUCAGAACCUGGGCCUUCGGUGUGAUGUCACAGUGAAUCGCACACUCAGACGCACACACACGCAUGCAUGGUCGCACCAUUAUUGCUCACCCACUUUAAACACAUUUAGGCGCAAACAACAAACACGCUUCUCUAAAAGCUGGACCAGGGAACAUACUUAUUGCAUCCUCAUUCCUUAAAAAAAAAAUGAGGAUGAAAGAUAGAGAAGGUGGAGACCAUGAUGGAGAGAACCUGGAGAAUUUCACUCUGCUGGAUUUGCUAUCUUGUCUAGUUGCCAAGGCGACGAUGUCUUUGUUCAUAGUGCGUUGAGUGCACCUGGUUGCUAAGGCAACCCAGAUGUUAGUGGCUGAAACAGAGACAGGCCUCAGCAGGCUGGAGCUGGACAGGGGUCCGAGCCGCAGGAGAAUCAUGACGGAUACCGUGUCACAGCAGCCAGCCCAAGGGUGCCUGCUGGUGUCCCAGACGGAUGUAUGACAUUUUAGCAGCUUGCAUUAUGAGUCCGCAUCACACCUCGCCACAGCAGACCAAAGCGUCUAGCGAAAGCUGGGGCAGACAGACCCAGAGAGAGCUGGCUGGUAGGCAAACGAUCAUCCACAACGGCCCAGAAACCAUGACACAUAGAAUGUGACAUCAACCUCCUCGGCCUGCAGCACUGAUCAGGUCACUAGUUGUUUUCAGUUUCACUCUUUUCUGAUCCUGCAAAAACUGAAGCAUGUUAAAUAGGUGUCAGGUGGAAGGGCUGUAUUCUGAUACCUGAGGGAGACAUGCAGUAAGUUUAAUUAUUAACAUCCAAAAAUUAUGUCUGUUCUUCACUGGACAAUGUUCAGCAUCACCGGGAAAUGGUAGCAUGUGUGCCCUGCAUGGAGAACAGACGCGCUCUAAUGACUUUUAUACUUUCUACAGAGCUUCUCUUUCUCUUCUGGUCCCAGUAACAGCGUCAGAAAUAUUGGCCCCUGCCUACGUCUUUCACAUUUAUAAAGGACCCCUAAGACGUGCCUGUUUGAGCACAUGUUUCUGUAGCAUUUCUGUUACUAUCUGAAAACCCAGGUGAAGCACUUGCAGGGAAUACAGUCGCCAUGAACUCCACCCUGCACCUGACUCAUCUCACAGAAGUGCGCUGCCUUUUAUUCCACGUCCCGACACUGGAUGUGACAGCUUUAAGGGGUGAAGCACUGGCAGCAAUGCGUGAAACCUUAGGUCUGUGACGAGGCUGUACCAGAUUCAGCUCUCUCUCCUUUCCAGACACCAUCAGCGGCUGUGUCGCCAGUGGCGAUACUAUAGACGGCUGUUCUGUGUUCAAUGACACAGCCAUGUGCCCAGGUGAGUGACUUCUCAGUUUCAGACAGGCAGACAUACCCCUCCCUGCCUGCACACAUGGAAGAUGGACAGAAACAUGCAAGAUCACGUGAACAGCACCUCAACAGUCACCUGUGUGCGUCAGCAGCACCCUCACACAUGCAUACAUGUACACAAAAGGAACAUGCUACCAUCAUGUGUGCUACAUGUUUGUGGCGCAGUAGUGGACGUCAGUCUUUGUCUGCUUGGGCUUACGCACAUCCAUGUGAUCAGCUGUCGUUUUGCUCUUACACGCCUGAUUCCAGGCCCUGCCACAUCUACACCCGGCAACUCUGUCUCAGGUGAGCUGCACCUCGACGUUCUGCCAUCCUCUUUACCACACUCCCACUUUCCAUCCGUAAACUGCCUAAUCAAAUUCCAGAUGCAAUUCUCAACCAAAAUG